rnacentral:rRNA from 1 species
ACCCGAGUCAUAUCUCCCUGCAGUUCUCACCUGGUAUCCCACUUAAGAUAAGCAGGGUUGAGUCUGGUGAGUACCUGGAUGGAAGACUUCCUGGGGAAAUUAAGGUUGCUGCUGGAA